ACCACAUUCUCAGGGAAUCUCACAUCGAGGCUAUCUGAAGUCCAUGGUUUCCCAAACUCCGUCCAUCCCAUAUUCAGAUGCUCUGUGAGAAAGCUGUGGAAUGAUCAGUUCAUAUGAAUAAACUCAGGACACCUCCAAGCCCAGAUAGGUACAGAGGUCAUUAAAGAAAUAAGUGAAAUGGUGUACUGAAUGGACUGUAGCUGCCUUUCAUACGGAAUUGCAAUCAUCAAGAUUCUGGAACAACAUUCUUAGAACAAUAGUUGAUGAUUAACUUUCUGUAUUCUUUUCAUUUGUGUGCACUCUUACCAGUUCAUUUCUGUGAUUUUCAGAGUUUGGUAUAAAGAACUGUGAUCAGAAACAAG